rnacentral:rRNA from 1 species
AACGAACGCUGGCGGCAUGCCUAACACAUGCAAGUCGAACGAGACCUUCGGGUCUAGUGGCGCACGGGUGCGUAACGCGUGGGAACCUGCCCUUAGGUUCGGAAUAACUCUCCGAAAGGGGUGCUAAUACCGGAUAAUGUCUUCGGCCCAAAGAUUUAUCGCCCUUGGAUGGGCCCGCGUUGGAUUAGCUAGUUGGUAGGGUAAAAGCCUACCAAGGCGACGAUCCAUAGCUGGUCUGAGAGGAUGAUCAGCCACACUGGGACUGAGACACGGCCCAGACUCCUACGGGAGGCAGCAGUGGGGAAUAUUGGACAAUGGGCGAAAGCCUGAUCCAGCAAUGCCGCGUGAGUGAUGAAGGCCUUAGGGUUGUAAAGCUCUUUUACCCGGGAUGAUAAUGACAGUACCGGGAGAAUAAGCUCCGGCUAACUCCGUG